UGCUCGGAAUCUUCAUCCGUCCCUUCGCCAAUAGUAAAGAAAGCACUCGGCCUGCGCCAAGCUCGGGCAAACUUGGGAUUGUCUGAAAAUUAAAGAAAAUUAAAGAAAACAUUAGAACCGUUUAAGAAGAUGCGAUUACUACAUCACCCUUCUCAUGAAUCUUAAUGAACAUCACUGACGAAAUUUCACCGUAUAGUAGAUAAAAAGUAUGAGUAAUCCAUGUUCAAUCUGUUCUUCGUUGAGGUCAAAGGUGGUCAUUGCCUGAUCUGUUUAAAAACUAAAUGUGAAACACGACGUGUUCGGGUAAAGGUGACGUGACGAUGGAGUUUGAUUACUAUGAUUUACUGUGCAAAAUCCACGUACUAAAUUGCAAUUUAAAAGGAUUAUUUGUAUGUAUGUAUGAAUGAAGACAGGAACUCGCUAUAUUUUAUUUUGCUUAAACUGCAUAGUUUUGAUCUGUAUAAAUUGUGGAUG